GUGAGGAAUUUUCCGCAAUGGGCGAAAGCCUGACGGAGCAAUGCCGCGUGAAGGAUGAAGGCCUAUGGGUUGUAAACUUCUUUUCUCAGAAAAGAAUUAUGACGGUAUCUGAGGAAUAAGCAUCGGCUAACUCUGUGCCAGCAGCCGCGGUAAGACAGAGGAUGCAAGCGUUAUCCGGAAUGAUUGGGCGUAAAGCGUCUGUAGGUUGUUUAAAAAGUAUUCUGUCAAAGAUUAGGGCUUAACCCUAGAUAGGCAGAAUAAACUUUUAAGCUAGAGUUUUGUAGAGGCAGAGGGAAUUCCCGGUGGAGCGGUGAAAUGCGUAGAUAUCGGGAGGAACACCAAAGGCGAAGGCACUCUUCUGGGCCAAUACUAACACUGAGAGACGAAAGCGAGGGGAGCAAAUGGGAUUAGAUACCCUUGUAGUCC
rnacentral:rRNA from 1 species